rnacentral:lncRNA from 1 species
ACGGAGUUGCAUCCAUCCCCAUCUAGUUCCUGUCUAUUCUCUGCAAGUGGCAGUGAGCUAUUUUUACAUCUGUUUCCUAGACAAGAUACUGUGUGAAGGCAGGAGGUGAAUAUACCCUCUCUCCUCAAAUAUUUCAAAGAGGCAUCCAAUCUUUUGCCUGAAAUUCAGCCUCACUUUGGUGACUAGCCAGCCUGACCU